rnacentral:rRNA from 1 species
UACGUAGGGUGCGAGCGUUGUCCGGAUUUAUUGGGCGUAAAGGGCUCGUAGGCGGCCAGUCGCGUCGGAAGUGAAAUCCUGGGGCUUAACCCCGGGUCUGCUUUCGGUACGGGCUGGCUGGAGUGUGGCAGGGGAGACUGGAAUUCCUGGUGUAGCGGUGGAAUGCGCAGAUAUCAGGAGGAACACCGGUGGCGAAGGCGGGUCUCUGGGCCAUUACUGACGCUGAGGAGCGAAAGCGUGGGGAGCGAACAG